rnacentral:lncRNA from 1 species
AUGGGGUCGGUUCCGGUCCCGGUGUCGCUGAUCCCGGUUCUGGUCUCAGUUGGCCUUUAUGUUCUACCUGCUGACCUACGUCGGGGCCGUGUUCAAUGGGGUGACGCUGCUCGGAGUGGGUGUGAUCUGCGCCUUCACCUUCCCUGUGCUCUAUCGGCACUACAAGGUACGGCUAUGGGGUCAGUGGGGUCUAUGGGGUCUAUAGGGUUAAUGGGGUCAAUGGGGUUAAUGGGGUCUAUAGGGUUAAUGGGGUCAAUGGGGUUAAUGGGGUCAGUGGGGUCUAUGGGGUCAAUGGGGUUAAUGGGGUCUAUGGGGUUAAUGGGGUCUAUGGGGUUAAUGGGGUCUAUGGGGUUAAUGGGGUCAAUGGGGUUAAUGGGGUCAGUGGGGUCUAUGGGGUCAAUGGGGUCUAUGGGGUCAAUGGGGUUAAUUGACCCCAUUGCCCCCAUUGCCCCCAUUAACCCCAUUCACCCCAUUGACCCCAUUGACCCCAUUAUCCCCCCCCAGACUCAGAUCGAUCACUACAUGAAUAUGGGGAGGAGCCACCUGAGGCAGCUCCGUGCCAGGUAAGGGGUCUUUAAGCCCCCCCCCCUUUAUGGGGUCCCCCCCCCCAUUGAUUCGGGGUCCGCCCUAUGGGCUUAUAUCCCCCCCCCCCAUUGACCCCAUUACCCCCAUUCACCCCAUUGACCCCAUUACCCCCAUUGACCCCAUUGCCCCCAUUACCCCAUUACCCCAUUGCCCACAUUACCCCCAUUGCCCCCAUUAUCCCCAUUGUCCCCAUUGACCUCAUUAUCCCAUUACCCCCAUUGCCCCCAUUACUUCCAUUGACCCCAUUGACCCCACUGACCCUAUUACCCCCAUUACCCCCAUUGACCCCAUUACCCCCAUANNNNNNNNNNNNNNNNNNNNNNNNNGGGGGGGUAAUGGGGAUGGGGGGGUCCAUUGGGGACAGUGGGGGACAAUAGGUGACAAUGGGUGACAGUGGGUCCCAAUGGGUGCUGAUGGGUCCCAAUGGGUCCUGAUGGGUCCCAAUUGGUGCCAAUGAGUAUCAAUGGGUCCCAAUGGGUAUCAAUGGCUCCCACUGGGUAUCAAUGGGUCCCAAUGGGUUCCAGUGGGUCCCAAUGGGUGCCAAUGGGUUCUAAUGGGUACCAAUGGGUCCUGAUGGGUCCCAAUGCGUGCCAAUGGGUAUCAGUGGGUCCCAAUGGGCACCAAUGGGUACUAAUGGGUCCCAAUGGGUCCCAGUGGGUAUCAGUGGGUCCCAAUGAGUCUUGAUGGGUCCCAGUGGGUACCUAUGGGCACCAAUGGGUAUCAAUGGGUCCCAAUGGGUAUCAAUGGGUCCUAAUGGGUAUCAGUGGGUCCCAAUGGGUCCCAGUGGGUCCCAGUGGGUCUCAAUGGGUCCCAAUGGGUCCCAAUGGGCACCAAUGGGUACUAAUGGGUCCCAAUGGGUAUCAGUGGGUCCCAGUGGGUAUCAGUGGGUCCCAAUGGGUCCCAAUGGGCACCAAUGGGUACUAAUGGGUCCCAGUGGGUAUCAGUGGGUCCCAAUGUGUUCCGCCGUGUGCCCCAUAGGUGC